rnacentral:misc_RNA from 1 species
GAUGAAGAACGUAGCGAAAUGCGAUAAGUAAUGUGAAUUGCAGAAUUCAGUGAAUCAUCGAAUCUUUGAACGCACAUUGCGCCCGCCAGUAUUCUGGCGGGCAUGCCUGUUCGAGCGUCAUUACAACCCUCAGGCCCCCGGGCCUGGCGUUGGGGAUCGGCGGAGCCCCCCGUGGGCACACGCCGUCCCCCAAAUACAGUGGCGGUCCCGCCGCAGCUUGCAUCGCGUAGUAGCUAACACCUCGCGACUGGAGAGCGGCGCGGCCACGCCGUAAAACACCCAACUCUUCUGAAGUUGACCUCGAAUCAGGUAGGAAUACCCGCUGAACUUAAGCAUAUCAAUAAGCGGAGGA